rnacentral:tRNA from 1 species
UAGAGUAUAGCUUAAUUAAAGCACUUCGCUUACACCGAAAUGAAGCCCAUUAAAUACGGACUACUCUAA